rnacentral:lncRNA from 1 species
GCCAGGCUCUUGAGAUUGCAGGGAAGGGAGUCUAAGCAGUCUAAUUCUGCUUUUUCUUAGGCAACCUCUACCUUGGUGGACCUGCAAGCAGCCUACCCAGUAGAUUGGUCCAUGCUUUCUUGUUCUCAGCUCUUCAGGUGUCCAUGCUGUUAAACACCUAAGCAGGUCUCAGUAGUGGUGCUCUGUUUCAUCACCUAUAGUCUUUCUCAGCCCCCAUGGUGGAAAGUCCUUGCGAUACUUGCUACACUGACUCGAAGCUGGCAUGUUUCCCUGUGGCUUCCAAUGUGGGUGCCUGUCUUUCUGAUUCCCUCUUUUUACCCCAGAUGUGCACUUCAGGCCUUGAGGACUAUGUGAUGGGGACUUUCAGUUCUGAUGUUGACAUCAUUAAUUCCCAGGUAGGCCCCUGUGUGGAUGAUUCUAGAUUCUUAGGCUACACUUGACUUAACAUGACCCUGGUCUUAUGCAAACUUUUCUAAAAGUUCCCAGGUAGAUUUUUAAAAAGAUGACAGUAAUUUUGCACUAGAGAAAGACAAAAUGCACCCAGACCCUCUGAAUGUAUUAGUAUCUUAAGGAUGCUGUAACAAAACACCACAAACUGGAUGGCAUAAAACAACAGAAACAAAUUUGCUAAGGCUGUCUUUGAACUUGGAAUUCUCCUGCCUCAGCCUCCCCAACUGCUGGGAAUACAAGUAUGCACCACUGUACCCAGCCAGGAAUGCAGAUGUUUCAAUUGUCAAGAAUGUAAAUGCAACACUCAGUCUGAAUGAUGGAACAAGUGCCACCCUGACCUGCUGUAAGAACAUCCAAGGUAAGAACACCAAGGCCAUUUGGUGUUAUAAAACAGCUUUUUUUCAUGAGUACCAUGUCUGCAUUGAGGAAAGAAAUGCCUUUCUCAGUGUCAUUGAAAGCUUUUUGAAUAUAAUUGGCUAAACCUUCCAUGUACCACAUUUAUAUCCUCUAGACCAAUUUUUGGGAUAAACUGUGAAGCUAAAUGAUCAUACCAGUGAAAAACAGUCCCCAUCUAUGCUUGAGACUGGGGAUGUUUGCAGAUUGACUUAUUUUUUGUGUCCACCUCCCUUGCAUUCUUAGGUACCCAACAAUACAUUUUCCCAUCCAGCCUGGAGGAACCCAGAGCCAUAAGUUAGUCCCACAUAUCGACUGAUUCCCUUUGGGGGCUGGCCAUCUAAUUUCAGGUCUCAAGAACCAGCUAGUCCCAAACUAAUCAUAAGGCUAUAAAAUCACAAUAUGUUGACAUCAAGAUUUUGAGGUCUAUCCUGACUUCUAAAUCGAACUAGGCCAUGUAUCCCAAGUGUGGUUAUGUUUUUUUGCAACAAAUUGAGGUCUUCUGAUUGAGAUAUCCUGUGGUUGGCUUAAACCAUAUUCAUCCCAAUUUUUAAAAAAUAUUUUUAGUUGUGUAUGGAUACAAUAUCUUUAUUUAUUUAAUUUUUUUUGAGGUGCUGAGGAUCGAACCCAGGGCCUUACACAUGCAAGGCAAGCUUUCUACCACUGAGCCACAACCCUAGCCCCAUUCAUCCCAAAUUGAUAGUAACCUUCCUUAUGUCUUUGCUAUUCUGGCAUUCCUAAUGGAAGAUAAGAUGAAGAUGGACUCAAAUGUGGCUUAAUGACUGCAAACUUUUGGAAAUUGGUUUGCUCUAAAGUGAAAUUUUUUCCAUGACCUGAAUGUGACAAAGUCUCAUUUAGAGGUCAUAAUUUAACAUCUGCAUAAGAAGUGAUUUAUAAUGAGUCCAUCUUUCUUCUUUGAUUCUAGAAUUAGAGACAAUAAUUUUACCUAGUCAUUCCUUUGUAGGGAGAAUCCAACAAGCUAGGGUCAAUCAAUUGUUCUGAUUGUUCAAUGGCUGACAUCAAAAGAAAAGAACUCAGUGUCUUGAGUGGAAAACUUAGACAAGCUCCUAAGUUUAUUAAGAUAUCAUAAUGGAGUUUGAUAGUUAGCCAUUACCAAAAAAAGAAUAAGUGAAUAUUUUAUCUUCCCAAUUGCAACAUGGAAAAGAAGUAAUGUGUCUUAUAUUGGGUAGUCUAUUGACUCCCAAUACCAAGCAGGAAUCAGCAGAAAAGUAUCCAAGGUUGAGACACUAUAGGUGGUGCCAGCAUCCUAAAGGAAAUGAAUGACACUAUUUCAUGCCUCAAGUUACCCUCAGUCCAGCCCCAGCGAUGGUGACUGACUGGGAUGCUGGCUGACUCCCAAGGCUUGCUCAUUCUUGGGCCAUCAUUUUGAGAUUGUCUGAUCUGAGGUUCCUUCAGCCUCCAGGGCAGUGAACUUUCCAGUGGCCUCUCCUGCCACAUAUAGGGCAAGGAGUCUUUGAAGCCUGCCCUUAAUUAGGUGAUCUUUCUUCUAAUGUUCUUCCUUUCUGUAACAAUGACAGAUAUUUUCAGAGACUUAAGGGUCCUGUGGAGGAAGAAAGGGGUGACCAUUAAGAACUGCAGUCAAUAAUUGCACUGGUCUUUUGUCCCUCAUUUCUCCUUUUAUCUAUCCAUUAAAUGUUCAUCCUGGUCUAAUCAUAAAAGAUCUGUGGGCUACCUUCAAGGGAAAUCCCAGGGCCUACUACCAAUUUUGUAAUUUCUAUCUAAUAUUUGGAGCAAAUUGAAGAAUGAACUUAUCUUUUAAAAUAAGUUGCCCUUCAUGAGAUGUAGGAUCUAAGGGUGCAUAAUUUUACUAAGCCUUCUUCAAUCUUUCUACAAAAGCCCUGGGAUUUCACUCCAAUCUCUGAUCAAUUGUUGCCAGUUUCAUAUAGUUAAUAGUUGUCAUCCUACUGUUUUUAAGUUCUACUUUGAGACAAAUAAUCAUAUGAUUGUUAUGCCACCCCUGGUGAUUCAUCAUAAAUCCAUUGAGGAUGCUCAGUUGAAAAAGCAGACGACCCACAGGGUAUAGAGUUAGUGAUAUGUAAAUCAUUCCCCCAAACCCUAGAAGCUUCUGUGUCCUGAUGUCUCUCUCUGUCAGUUACAAUAUGACUCAAAAUUACUCGUACAUCUCUAGAUUACCUCAAAACCUGGGUUAAAUGUUGGAAUUCCUCUAUAUAUUUAUCAGGAUCAUCAGAAAACCUUCCUAAAUCUUCUUGAUUUCUUUUAGAUCUUUCAUAGAAAAACACACCUGCAUUUGUCUGAUCCAGAUUCUCCAUUUGUCUCUUGUAAUGGGUGUAAACUGGCAAUGGGCUUGGUAGGGAUAGGCUUACUGUGAAGGAAACCAGAAUGGGGGGAGUGGGAGCAGUAGAUAAUGGUGGGUACAAAGGAAAGUGGGAGAAUUGGGUUUUGACAGCUCUGAGUGUUAAGUACAUUGUUGAGAGAGAGAAAGGGUUAGUUUUUGGGGGUCCCCUAGGCCAGCAAUGUUUUGACUCAUCAUUGCUAGAAGGGCCUAAUCAAUGCUGCAUUUAGCACAUAAAUCUUUUGAUACUUUAGUAAAAAGAAAGCCUGUAGAGAGGGGACUUCUGGCCAUUUUACUUCCUUUCUGCAACAAGAAUCUCAUAGUUAAAGAGUAUUAUAGUUUCAACUUCUGUUAGUGGACCGUUUAUUUUUAUCCCCUAAUUCAUACAGAGGCCAAUUAACAUGACAAAAGAAAAUUAAUCUCUUCUUGAGGGUCUCCAGGCAAAAAAUGUCCUAGUUUCACAGGAUGUACUGCAAGGAGGUGGUAGCUUAUAUCAAUGGUUGAUUUGCUGUCUGUAAAAUAAAGCCAACCAGGUAUAGUGGCAUACUCCUGUAAUCUCAGGGACCAGGGAGGGUGAGGCAGGAGGAUUGCAAGUUCAAGGUCAGCCUCAGCAAUAUAGCAAGGCCCUCAGCAACUUAACAAGACCUGCCUCAAAAUAAAACAAUAAAAAGUGAUGUGGAUGUGCCUCAGUAGUUAAGUGCCCCUUGGUUCAGUUCCUGUUACCCCCCGCACACACACAAACACACAAAAAAAUAAUUAAAUAAAUAACAGCCUGAUGAUAUGCCAGGAGUUCUUCAGCAGUACUGACCUGAAAGCCAGAUGACUACAUAAAGGCAUUCCUCACAUAACAUUGCAUUUUAAACCCAUGUAGUGGUUCCCUAGAAUGAGUGUAGUAUGUGUGUCCAAGUUCAGCAACUCAUGCCUUGUUUUCUGAACUCUGUUUCUCAAACCUAUAAUCUUAUUUAAUAAACAUGUUUAAUAACCUUAUGCCAGACAAUUGAUAUGACUUGGGAAGUGACCCUUAAUUCUUUUUCAGAGAACUUGAAGAGUAGGAUGGGCCUGAUGUUGAAAAGUAGAGGGAGCCAGAGGUUUUUUUGUCACCCUGUUGGAAUCAGAGCCAGUCCAAAAAUAACAACAUGAUAAAUGACAUAGAAAAGAGGAAGGAUCAUUAUAUUGCAGGGUUUUCCCUUGGAAUAAACCCAUGAGGGGACAUGAUGUCCAUGCAAUGUAUUAUACAGUAAAAAACUACCAUUUUGGUAAAGAAAUGAUACCAGCUGAGAAAAAAGUUUCUUAGCUGUGCGAUAUCUUAUACUAACUAAUUCACCCAAAUUAUAAGUAGGUAAAGAUGGUAAACUCAUUGGCCUUCAGUUUCUGGAAUAGCCUCAAAAAGAAGGUGGUAUGAUGCUCAUUACUGAAGAGAGUCAGGGGUCACUAUAAGGCAACAGCCACAACAGUAGAGUCUCAUUGCCUCUCUGGUGGCCUUGGUCAAAAAGAUGCCAUAAAAAGCAAGAGAGAGUGUACAUCUGCAUGUCAGGAGGAGGAAAAAAGGUGCCACUACAGUUACUUACUGUAAGAAAAGAUGGCACUCAUGUGACAUAUGGAACAGGUUUUGACAAAGAAAAGUGUACACAGAGAAGCCCAAAGCAAAAGGCAAGAUAUCAGGGGUUAAGUUAGACAUCAUCUCAACCAAAGCUGGGAGAGAAACAAGGUGAAGUUCAUAUACCUGCCCUGUAGAUGGCUGUUGAUCUGAAUGGAGGCACCAGGUUAGACAUCACAGGAGAGUGGAAAGUUGAAGCUCCAAACUUCAGUUCUUGUGUUCCAAGGAAAGAAAGCCAGACACUGAAAGCCAUGCACGAGAACUUUCUCAUAAGUAAAAAGUAAAGUAAGGCUCAAACAAAGAGCCCUCUCAUGAGAGUGAGUCAUCUCCCAGCAGAGAAUGAGAAAUGAAAUAGUGCUGUUUGUAAAUGUACUGCUGUUUUAUGGUUGCCUUGAGAACUGGGGUCCACCUUCAGCACUCUUUACCAAUCGGGGUGUUCAGCUCCUUCAUGUCAGGUGGUAGAGUUUUUCAUACUAGUGGCCAUCAUAUUAAAGGGGGGGUGUAUUUACAAGUCAGUCCUAUGUUAAUGUGAUUUUGGGGGUCAGUGACUAGACAGAAUUUACUUUUGUGCUCCUGAAUUACUAAGAAAAUUUCUCUUCAGGAAUAUUUUGAGGCACCUAUGGUCAUAAGAACGUAUAUGUGAAUAUAAAAUUCUAUUUUCAGAAGAUCCCAUUGUCUAGCUUUACAAUGAUACCAACUGACCCUGUGAAGAGUUAGUAAUUACCCCACUAAUCUUACUUGAUAUAUUUCUUAAUUGGCUCCCUUUUUUGGGUUUAUUUGUAUACCUGGUUUUUUUCCUGCAUUUUCUGAUUACCCAUUUGCCUUAAAAAAAUAAAGAGCACCUUAAAGUAACUUAAAGAAAACCCAUGAUAUUGCCCUGUUAUUGCUUUGCAUUUCACUGUUUAUUACUCACUACUACUUGAUGUCUCCCACCCACUGAGAGAACUAACAAUGACUACCUUUGGUUUGGGCAGGUACAGGUCAGAGGAGGGUCCCUUUGCCUUGGAGCCGGCAAGCUCCAUGGCAGAUGAACAAGAUUCCCCCUGCCACCCACAGGGACCAUACAGGAAAGCAAGUAGAGUGUGGGGGUUAGCCACAGAGCCAGCUUUGGCAUGAUGCCCCUCCUCACACUGAACCAGCCAGACUUUGUUAAAUGAUGAAUUUUCUCACUGAUCUCCAAUAGCUCCAUGGGAAAAUUGGAUAAAAAUCCUCCCAGAUGAGAAAUUAAAGCAGAGCACAACAGUCAAAUUUGCCCCAAGAUAGGCAAGCAAGGGGACUGGAAUGCAGGCUCCACCACCCUGGGUCAGAGCACUAUCUACUGGGUGGCAAAGAACUAGGCACAAUUGGGCACUUGCCUGGGCAGGCACAAAAUUGUGGCUUCACCAGACUGAGGUUCUGAUGGAGUUGGUAUCUGCUGCAAACCUCCAAUUAAACAUAUUAGCUUUAAAAACAGGAAACCAUAAAUUCUAAACACUGAAAUAUUCCCUUUGCUAAUAAUACUGCGGUACAAAAUUUGGAUGUCUUUUUCAGGUUUAAAAAUGUAAUGACAUAAUUAAAUAUAGUUACAGCAUAAUAUUAGAAACAACAAAAAUGCAAACAUGGCAUUCAGAUUUCUCACAAAACACAUUUUUCUCCAGAUUAAAUUUUUUUUAUUCAGAUAUAUUAUUUGUAUAUCUUUAUGGGGUGAAUCACAGCAAUUCAAUAUAUGUAUACAAGUUUUAUCAUGCAAUAUUAACUUUACUUCCAGAGGUCACUAGAGUGUAAUCUCCCUUUAGUCUUUUAUGAUUAAUGACUUUGAAUAGAAUUCAUAUUCUAUUCUUUGAAUAGAAUUCACUACUGUGUCAAGAGAGACUGUCUCUGUAUACCCUUCAAGAAUGGGGACAUUCUAGCAUUUCAAACAGACAUUGAUGCAGGACAGAUGAGGCUUAUCAACUGUGGAAUUUUGGGGAAGAAGGCUUAUUUAAGUUGCAGCAAUCCAGAGGGACUAAUGCCAAAAAGUCUCUGGACCCCAGGUAUAAAAAUUAUCUGAGAUUUAUACUCAGUUAAACAACAGGGUAGUUAAUAUAACAGUUACUUUUUCUUCAGUGUUCUUAGGUUAAACAGAGAUUUCACAACUUUUUACUAAGAAAACAGAAACAGUAACUUUUGUACAUCAAAAAGCUUGAUUGCAGACUUAUUUUCAGGUGUAGAUGGGCAAAAUACCUUUAUUAUUUAUUUAUUUUUAUAUGGUACUGAGAAUCAAAAGCAGUGACCCACACAUGCUAGGCAAGUGCUUUACUACUGAGGAACAACCCCAGCCCUGCUGACCUAACAUUUACAAGAAAGAGAAAUCUGACCUUUACAACAAAGAGGAGCUCAAACCACAAUGAGC